CAGCCGCGGUAAUACGGAGGGUGCGAGCGUUAAUCGGAAUUACUGGGCGUAAAGGGUGCGUAGGUGGUUUAAUAAGUUAUCUGUGAAAUCCCUGGGCUCAACCUGGGAAGGUCAGAUAAGACUGUUUGACUCGAGUAUGGGAGAGGGUAGUGGAAUUUCCGGUGUAGCGGUGAAAUGCGUAGAGAUCGGAAGGAACACCAGUGGCGAAGGCGGCUACCUGGCCUAAUACUGACACUGAAGCACGAAAGCGUGGGGAGCAAACAGGAUUAGAUACCCUGGUAGUCCACGCCGUAAACGAUGUCAACUAGCUGUUGGAA
rnacentral:rRNA from 1 species